rnacentral:rRNA from 1 species
CUAAGUUUGAUGGCGACCGGCGCACGGGUGAGUAACACGUAUCCAACCUGCCGAUGACUCGGGGAUAGCUUUCGAAAGAAAGAUUAAUACCCGAUGGCAUAGUUCUUCCGCAUGGUAGAACUAUUAAAGAAUUUCGGUCAUCGAUGGGGAUGCGUUCCAUUAGGUUGUUGGCGGGGUAACGGCCCACCAAGCCUUCGAUGGAUAGGGGUUCUGAGAGGAAGGUCCCCCACAUUGGAACUGAGACACGGUCCAAACUCCUACGGGAGGCAGCAUG